ACCCCCUGGCAAUGGGCAAGGAGACACCUGAUUGGUGGUGUUGCUCUUAUAUCAAUCAGGGGCAGAGCAGACAUGCAGUCCUUAGUUCAUCCUAGUCAGCCGUGGGCAAACUA
rnacentral:snoRNA from 1 species